rnacentral:lncRNA from 1 species
AGGAUCUAACAAUGCAUAAACAUAAAUAUAAAAUACUUAUAACAUACCAGUAACCACAUUAGGAGAAACUUCCUAAUUCUGUCGAGUUUGAAGGGUAUAGAACCUAUCCUAAUAUUGUCCCCUAGAUGCACUAAGUGAGGCACCCUGCUGACUGGGGUGACCUGCUAGAGUUGUUAAAGAGUUACGCUGACUUUGUUGACGAGCAUCCCUACCUCUCUGUGAAGUAACUGUAUAUUCCCUCAAACCAUGGUCUGGCUUUCCAUACCCCAAACUACUAUUACUACCC